CAACGACUGCUGUGUGCGUUCGAUUUUGGCAGCUAGCCCGAACCGAUAUCACUACCACGGGAUCAAAAUCCGGCGAACCAGGUCAUGCCUUCAUAGGAAGACCCAAAUAGUCCGGACGAUCCCACUUGUUGAGCUUACGGAACGUGGCUCAUAGCGCCAAGAACGGCACAGCGGUUUUUCU
rnacentral:other from 1 species